rnacentral:misc_RNA from 1 species
GUAAUAAUGCCACUGUUCCUGGUAUAUAAUUCACGUCUGAUGAUCCAAAUCAAAUGCGCUGUUUCUUUUAUUUCCAGUAGUUUAGACAUUCAAUCUUCAUCAAGUUUACAAUACAAACAAAGCCGUUCUUCCCCCAGCAAGCCUAUGAGGAUUUGAAAAGUAACUACGCUACAUAGUAAUGUUACAACUAAAGCCAAAAAUUUUUAUAGAAAAUUAUUUUGAAGAUGAAGCAUCCUUUGAAUCUUGUUUUGAUCCUGACAUAGCAGCACUUGCAGCUAUUGUCAUGGCUGUUGCUGCUGCCCCCAGCUUAGCACCACCAGCAGCCUUCAUUGCACCUGCCACUUUUGCGAAUACGGCUAUCCCUCCAACAAGCAUAGCCCUCAAAGCAACUGUUGGUUUUACUGCCAUUUCUUGUGCGACCUGAAGUUCUGUCCCACAGCAAUCAGCCAAACUUAAGAAAAGAAAACCAAGCUGUCCGACUGCUUAGUGACCCCUUCACCUGAAGUUCUACCAAUGAGCUGCUCCUACAGUAAUCGGCUGAAUUUGAGAAAACCAGACUAGCCUAUACAUUUGUGCGCACAAAACACCAGAAUGUUCCAAAAACAUGUAGAAUCACUCACAAAUUAAUAAAACACAAGAAGAGAGGGAGAGGGAGAGCAUUUCUCAUGACAGCAGUUAAUAAAUCUCUGAUAGAUAUAGUGCAAGAACUUCUGCACGAAUUUACAAGACUCCUUUCUCUUCAUAGUUCUCAGCCACAUGAGUUCUGAAUACAAAUAAUGGGAUGUCUAGUUUCCAAUACCUACACUGAUAAGCAAUAAUCAUACAACAUGGCAAAGCAUCUUCUAAAUUAAUUUCCUUCUGGAAAUUAAAGUAGAAGACCACAUCCAACUUGCUGUCCUUGAUCUCAACCCUUCCAUUUAAAAGUAUAGCAAUUUAGGGAAUUAUAUUAAGCGUAAUUUCUUAAAUAAUAUUCCCUGCUUUUCAAAGUGCUGAACAUUCCAUACAAUUAUCGAAAGGUUUGCCUAUAGCAUACAUUCUCAUAUCUGCAAAUUGAAUUCAUCACCAAGAUAGUAGUUUCCUCUACAUGCCCAAUAAUCAAUUAAUAACAAUGAACUAGAUAACGAUAUACACGUAUCACAAAUUCCUUACUCAUUCUUAGUGACGCCUAAUAUUAUUCACUAGGAUCUUUUCUGAUAAAAACUCCACAUUGACAUUCAAAUUAAGUUAAUUUUAAAAAAAUAACAACCAAAUUACAAAGACCCAGAUCAUAUUUCAGCUUCAAUGUCCAGUCUCAAAUAAAAGUUUCCAUGUUAGAACACCCACCCUAUAGGAAUAAGGUAACACAAAAGUUGAGAGAGAG